UACAGAGGUCUCAAGCGUUGUUCGGAUUUAUUGGGCGUAAAGGGCGCGUAGGCGGCGGGGGUAAGUCGGGGUGUGAAAUCUCAGGGCUCAACCCUGAAACUGCACUUGAUACUGCCUCUGCUUGAGGACUGGAGAGGAGACUGGAAUUCACGGUGUAGCAGUGAAAUGCGUAGAUAUCGUGAGGAAGACCAGUGGCGAAGGCGGGU
rnacentral:rRNA from 1 species